rnacentral:rRNA from 1 species
UGCCAGCAGCCGCGGUAAGACGAACCGUCCAAACGUUAUUCGGAAUCACUGGGCUUAAAGGGUGCGUAGGCGGCGCGGUUAGUCGGAUGUGAAAUCGUACAGCUCAACUGUACAACUGCGUCCGAUACUGCCGUGCUUGAGGAAGGCAGAGGUGAGCGGAACUCAGGGUGGAGCGGUGAAAUGCGUUGAUAUCCUGGGGAACACCGGUGGCGAAGGCGGCUCACUGGGCCUUUUCUGACGCUGAGGCACGAAAGCUAGGGUAGCGAACAGGAUUAGAUA